UCACAGCUAGAAAUUGUUUAUUUAAUAUAAACCCUUUGCUACAUUUCUUUACAAACUCUAUUUUUUUUUCUAUUUAAACAGGUGUUAUUUAACUUAGUUUGCCAUGUACAUUUUAGUGUGCAUCAGUUAUAGCUGAUUCAUUUAUGAUGAUUAAAGCAAUACUUCACUGCUAGAAAGGAAGAUCUGUUGUAAAUAAUUUACAUUUUAUUAGCAAAAUAUGCAACAUUUAACAUUCAUGGUUUGUCCAAAGACAACAGGGAAAAAGUAAUAUGUGUUGUGGUUGAAAACGGUCAUAUUCUACACCACCCAGAAUGCACUGCGCUCUGACGAAUCACCCGAGCUGCUGCAUUUAUUCCUCUGAAACAUCUGAGGACUUUUUGCCAUGUGCUCACAGACUACAGCUAGCUUCCGUUUUUUUCUGAACCUGCCCCAGCAAAGGCCGGGCUGAAAGGGCGGAGCUAAUUGACAGCAGGAAGUGUCUCCAGAAGGUGACAACUGGAGUCUCUCUGCUCAGCCUCUCUUCCUGAUGAGAGAAGCUGAUGGUGAAGAGCUGUCCAACCGACUGAGCUGUUAGACGAACUGCUGACUCACAGAACACUCUGCAGAAGACUGAUGGGAAGAGCUGCACCUGGAUCAGACCACAGAGACCCCUGUGUUCCAAUGUUUGAUAAAACCUUUGGGGGAAAACAACAGAAACCUUAAGUCACCUGAUUAAAGACACCCAGAGUCCCCAGACCCUCACGAAACCUGGAGGGCAGAAACCAGAGUUCUUGGGCUCUACCUCUGCAGUGGCAGCUGCAUCCUGGUGAUCAUCAUGAAACUGACAAGGUCCUCCACCAGACUGUCCCUGUCAGUCAGGCUGCUGAUUGGUCGGGUGCAGCCGGCCAGCUCCAGGUACUCUCGGCU